UGCGUAGAGUGCAAACGUUAUCCGGAUUUAUUGGGCGUAAAGAGUUGCGUAGGCUGUUUGGCGCAUUUUGUUUGAAAUACUCCGACUUAAUUGGAGAUUUGGACAAAAUAUGGCCAAACUUGAUGACUUCAGAGGAUGCUGGAACCUAUGGUGUAGCAGUGAAAUGCGUUGAUAUCAUAGGGAACACCAAAGGCGUAGGCAGGCAUCUAGGAAGAACAUGACGCUGAGGCACGAAAGCUGGGGGAGCGAAACAG
rnacentral:rRNA from 1 species